rnacentral:snRNA from 1 species
AAUUCGAGGUGGCCGAGAGCAUGGUCGGCAUGCACAUCGGCAAAAACGGAGAGCACAUCAAGCAGAUCCAAAGCGACUUCGAGGUUGAUAUUCGCGU